GCCGGGCGAGGUGGCGGGCGCCUGUAGUCCCAGCUACUCGGGAGGCUGAGGCAGGAGAAUGGCGUGAACCCGGGAGGCGGAGCUUGCAGUGAGCUGAGAUCCGGCCACUGCACUCCAGCCUGGGCUACAGAGCGAGACUCCGUCUAAAAAAAAAAAAAGAGACGGAGUCUCGCUCUGUCUCCUAGGCUGGAGUGCAGUGGCACGAUUUCGGCUCACUGCAACCUCCGCCUCCCGGGUUCAAGUGAUUCUCCUGCCUCAU
rnacentral:SRP_RNA from 1 species